rnacentral:rRNA from 1 species
AGAGUUUGAUCAUGGCUCAGGACGAACGCUGGCGGCGUGCCUAAUACAUGCAAGUCGAGCGAAUCGAUGGGAGCUUGCUCCCUGAGAUUAGCGGCGGACGGGUGAGUAACACGUGGGCAACCUGCCUAUAAGACUGGGAUAACUUCGGGAAACCGGAGCUAAUACCGGAUACGUUCUUUUCUCGCAUGAGAGAAGAUGGAAAGACGGUUUACGCUGUCACUUAUAGAUGGGCCCGCGGCGCAUUAGCUAGUUGGUGAGGUAAUGGCUCACCAAGGCGACGAUGCGUAGCCGACCUGAGAGGGUGAUUGGCCACACUGGGACUGAGACACGGCCCAGACUCCUACGGGAGGCAGCAAUAGGGAAUCUUCCGCAAUGGACGAAAGUCUGACGGAGCAACGCCGCGUGAACGAAGAAGGCCUUCGGGUCGUAAAGUUCUGUUGUUAGGGAAGAACAAGUACCAGAGUAACUGCUGGUACCUUGACGGUACCUAACCAGAAAGCCACGGCUAACUACAUGCCAGCAGCCGCGGUAAUACGUAGGUGGCAAGCGUUGUCCGGAAUUAUUGGGCGUAAAGCGCGCGCAGGUGGUUCCUUAAGUCUGAUGUGAAAGCCCACGGCUCAACCGUGGAGAGU